AUUGAACGCUGGCGGCAGGCCUAACACAUGCAAGUCGAACGAGUGGCGGACGGGUGAGUAAUGUCUGGGAAACUGCCUGAUGGAGGGGGAUAACUACUGGAAACGGUAGCUAAUACCGCAUACCAUCGGAUGUGCCCAGAUGGGAGUAGCUUGUUGGUUGGGUAACGGCUCACAAAGGCGACGAUGCCUAGCUGGUCUGAGAGGAUGACAAGCCACACUGGAACUGAGGCACGGUCCAGACUCCUACGGGAGUCAGCAGUGGGAAAUAUUGCACAAUGGGCGCAAGCCUGAUGCAGCCAUGCCGCGUGUAUGAAGAAGGCCUUCGGGUUGUAAAGUACUUGCAGCGGGGAGGCGUUACCCGCAGAAGAAGCACCGGCUAACUCCGUGCCAGCCGCCGCGGUAAUAC
rnacentral:rRNA from 1 species